AGUGAACGCUGGCGGUAGGCCUAACACAUGCAAGUCGAACGGCAGCACAGGAGAGCUUGCUCUCUGGGUGGCGAGUGGCGGACGGGUGAGGAAUACAUCGGAAUCUGCUCUGUCGUGGGGGAUAACGUAGGGAAACUUACGCUAAUACCGCAUACGACCUACGGGUGAAAGCAGGGGACCUUCGGGCCUUGCGCGAUUGAAUGAGCCGAUGUCGGAUUAGCUAGUUGGCGGGGUAAAGGCCCACCAAGGCGACGAUCCGUAGCUGGUCUGAGGGGAUGAUCAGCCGCACUGGAACGGAGACAAGGUCCAGACUCCUACGGGAGGCAGCAGUGGGGAAUAUUGGACAAUGGGCGCAAGCCUGAUCUAGCCAUACCGCGUGGGUGAAGAAGGCCUUCGGGUUGUAAAGCCCUUUUGUUGGGAAAGAAAUCCAGCUGGCUAAUACCCGGUUGGGAUGACGGUACCCAAAGAAUAAGCACCGGCUAACUUCGUGCCAGCCGCCGCAGUAA
rnacentral:rRNA from 1 species